rnacentral:rRNA from 1 species
GACGGAGGAUGCAAGUGUUAUCCGGAAUCACUGGGCGUAAAGCGUCUGUAGGUGGUUUAAAAAGUCCACUGUUAAAAAUUGAAGCUUAACUUCAAAGAUGCCGUGGAAACUUUUAAACUUGAGUAUGAUAGGGGUAGAGGGAAUUUCCAGUGGAGCGGUGAAAUGCGUAGAUAUUGGAAAGACCACCAAUGGCGAAGGCACUCUCCUGGGCCAUUACUGACACUGAGAGACGAAAGCUAGGGUAGCGAAUGGG